rnacentral:rRNA from 1 species
AUUGUGUGCCAACCCUCCUUGUCAACGCCUGAUUUUGUCAGAUCUUAGAAGCUAAGCAGGGCUGGGCCUGGUUAGUACUUGGAUGGGAGACCACUGGGAACAAAAUGAAGUGACAGUG